GAUGAAGAACGUAGCGAAAUGCGAUAAGUAAUGUGAAUUGCAGAAUUCAGUGAAUCAUCGAAUCUUUGAACGCACAUUGCGCCCGCCAGUAUUCUGGCGGGCAUGCCUGUUCGAGCGUCAUUACAACCCUCAGGCCCCCGGGCCUGGCGUUGGGGAUCGGCGGAGCCCCCCGUGGGCACACGCCGUCCCCCAAAUGCAGUGGCGGUCCCGCCGCAGCUUCCAUCGCGUAGUAGCUAACACCUCGCGACUGGAGAGCGGCGCGGCCACGCCGUAAAACACCCAACUCUUCUGAAGUUGACCUCGAAUCAGGUAGGAAUACCCGCUGAACUUAAGCAUAUCAAUGAGCGGAGGA
rnacentral:misc_RNA from 1 species